UAGAAGUGGAGAAGGCGCUGAAGGAAAACACCAAGAUUAUGCUAGCCAGAACAUAGCCCCUCUGUCUAAGCAGAAAUAUUUAACAAUACCAUAUACACUUGGCAACACGAAAUUCGCAAAGGAUGUAAGAAAGCUCACAAAGAGAAGACUAGCAUACCAAAGAACACCAAAUAUAUUUAAUAGCCUGAAGAACGAGAAAGAUAGGAAGGGAGACCUGGAAAGAUCUGGUAUCUACAGAAUACUGUUGGAAUAUUAAGAUACCCAUCAAAAAGCAGUGCAUAUAGGCAUGACAACAAGAAUUCUGGGUCAAAGACUUAAGGAGCACAAGAGGGAUAUAAUAAAGGCGAAUUUGAACACCACGCUAGCAACAGAGGCCUAUAAUGCAGACAUAACAGUGGAUUGGUACAAUGCUAAAAUCGUAAAGCAAAUUAGAAAUGAAUCCCAAGCCUUAUUAGCAAAGAUGAUCGAGAUAACUAGAAGAAAGGAGACAGAAAACCUAGUCAAUGAUAGACCAGCAAUUGACA
rnacentral:lncRNA from 1 species